rnacentral:rRNA from 1 species
AUGCAUACCUUUAGCUGCCUCCCCUCCAAUGUCCACGACUCUGAUAUACCGUGUUUGUUAGUCUUGACUGGUGUUUGUUCUCCGUAUUGUUGUGCAGGAGGCUGGAGAACAGCAGGGAGAAAAGGGAGUCGUGGAUGGAGACUUGUCCUACAUGGCCGAGCGAGAUCGAGGCUAGCCGCCGGUAAUGUUCUUCUCCCGUGCAAGUUCCGCACUGCAUUGAAGCAUCCAACACAUGAUGUAGCUACGUUACAGGUGGGACAUCAGCCAAGUAUGUUUCGAGGUGAGACAUCCAUCAAGUUUGUUUGGAGCAAAUAA